CUCUCCUUCGUCUCUCCUUCCUCCCUCCUUCCUCUCUCCACGUCCCUUCCUCCCUCCUUCCUCCCUCCUUCCUCCCUCCUUCCUCUCUCCUUCCUCGUCUCAGCCGUGUCAUCACAUUUGCAUUCCUCCCCACUCAAAAUAGCGUUAUCCGUUCGUUCCACAAAACAAGUCUCACUCGCCUUCUCUCGCUUUCUCUCUCUGGCUCGCUCUCUCUCUUUCUCUCUGGUAGCAGCAGGGGGAGGUGACAGGGCUAGCGUAGCAGUGUAGAGUGGUAUUAGCAGGGGAGGUGACAGGGCUAGCGUAGCAGUGUAGAGUGGUAGUAGCAGGGGGAGAUGACAGGGCUAGCGUAGCAGUGUAGAGUGGUAGUAGCAGGGGGAGGGGACAGGGCUAGCGUAGCAGUGUAGAGUGGUAGCAGCAGGGGGAGGUGACAGGGCUAGCGUAGCAGUGUAGAGUGGUAUUAGCAGGGGAGGUGACAGGGCUAGCGUAGCAGUGUAGAGUGGUAUUAGCAGGGGGAGAUGACAGGGCUAGCGUAGCAGUGUAGAGUGGUAGUAGCAGGGGGAGGGGACAGGGCUAGCGUAGCAGUGUAGAGUGGUAGCAGCAGGGGGAGGUGACAGGGCUAGCGUAGCAGUGUAGAGUGGUAUUAGCAGGGGAGGUGACAGGGCUAGCGUAGCAGUGUAGAGUGGUAGUAACAGGGGGAGGUGACAGGGCUAGCAUAGCAGUGUAGAGUGGUAGCAGCAGGGGGAGGUGACAGGGCUAGCGUAGCAGUGUAGAGUGGUAGUAACAGGGGGAGGUGACAGGGCUAGCAUAGCAGGGUAGAGUGGUAGCAGCAGGGGGAGGUGACAGGGCUAGCGUAGCAGUGUAGAGUGGUAUUAGCAGGGGAGGGGACAGGGCUAGCGUAGCAGUGUAGAGUGGUAGCAGCAGGGGGAGGUGACAGGGCUAGCGUAGCAGUGUAGAGUGGUAUUAGCAGGGGAGGUGACAGGGCUAGCGUAGCAGUGUAGAGUGGUAGUAACAGGGGGAGGUGACAGGGCUAGCAUAGCAGUGUAGAGUGGUAGCAGCAGGGGGAGGUGACAGGGCUAGCGUAGCAGUGUAGAGUGGUAGCAGCAGGGGGAGGUGACAGGGCUAGCGUAGCAGUGUAGAGUGGUAGCAGCAGGGGGAGGUGACAGGGCUAGCGUAGCAGUUUAGAGUGGUAGCAGCAGGGGGAGGUGACAGGGCUAGCGUAGCAGUGUAGAGUGGUAGCAGCAGGGGGAGGUGACAGGGCUAGCGUAGCAGUGUAGAGUGGUAGCAGCAGGGGGAGGUGACAGGGCUAGCGUAGCAGUGUAGAGUGGUAGCAGCAGGGGGAGGUGACAGGGCUAGCGUAGCAGUGUAGAGUGGUAUUAGCAGGGGAGGUGACAGGGCUAGCGUAGCAGUGUAGAGUGGUAGUAGCAGGGGGAGAUGACAGGGCUAGCGUAGCAGUGUAGAGUGGUAGUAGCAGGGGGAGGGGACAGGGCUAGCGUAGCAGUGUAGAGUGGUAGCAGCAGGGGGAGGUGACAGGGCUAGCGUAGCAGUGUAGAGUGGUAUUAGCAGGGGAGGUGACAGGGCUAGCGUAGCAGUGCAGAGUGGUAGUAGCAGGGGGAGAUGACAGGGCUAGCGUAGCAGUGUAGAGUGGUAGUAGCAGGGGGAGGGGACAGGGCUAGCGUAGCAGUGUAGAGUGGUAGCAGCAGGGGGAGGUGACAGGGCUAGCGUAGCAGUGUAGAGUGGUAUUAGCAGGGGAGGUGACAGGGCUAGCGUAGCAGUGUAGAGUGGUAUUAGCAGGGGGAGAUGACAGGGCUAGCGUAGCAGUGUAGAGUGGUAGUAGCAGGGGGAGGGGACAGGGCUAGCGUAGCAGUGUAGAGUGGUAGCAGCAGGGGGAGGUGACAGGGCUAGCGUAGCAGUGUAGAGUGGUAUUAGCAGGGGAGGUGACAGGGCUAGCGUAGCAGUGUAGAGUGGUAGUAACAGGGGGAGGUGACAGGGCUAGCAUAGCAGUGUAGAGUGGUAGCAGCAGGGGGAGGUGACAGGGCUAGCGUAGCAGUGUAGAGUGGUAGUAACAGGGGGAGGUGACAGGGCUAGCAUAGCAGGGUAGAGUGGUAGCAGCAGGGGGAGGUGACAGGGCUAGCGUAGCAGUGUAGAGUGGUAUUAGCAGGGGAGGGGACAGGGCUAGCGUAGCAGUGUAGAGUGGUAGCAGCAGGGGGAGGUGACAGGGCUAGCGUAGCAGUGUAGAGUGGUAUUAGCAGGGGAGGUGACAGGGCUAGCGUAGCAGUGUAGAGUGGUAGUAACAGGGGGAGGUGACAGGGCUAGCAUAGCAGUGUAGAGUGGUAGCAGCAGGGGGAGGUGACAGGGCUAGCGUAGCAGUGUAGAGUGGUAGCAGCAGGGGGAGGUGACAGGGCUAGCGUAGCAGUGUAGAGUGGUAGCAGCAGGGGGAGGUGACAGGGCUAGCGUAGCAGUGUAGAGUGGUAGCAGCAGGGGGAGGUGACAGGGCUAGCGUAGCAGUGUAGAGUGGUAGUAACAGGGGGAGGUGACAGGGCUAGCGUAGCAGUGUAGAGUGGUAGCAGCAGGGGGAGGUGACAGGGCUAGCGUAGCAGUGUAGAGUGUUAGCAGCAGGGGGAGGUGACAGGGCUAGCGUAGCAGUGUAGAGUGGUAGCAGCAGGGGGAGGUGACAGGGCUAGCGUAGCAGUGUAGAGUGGUAGCAGCAGGGGGAGGUGACAGGGCUAGCGUAGCAUUUUACGGUCUGCACCGUCAAAGCCCUGCAGCUUGGAAAGAUAGUUUCCAAUAUACAAUUGUUUUUAUUUUAAAAUGUUGUAUAAUAUGGUAUAUAUUCAAAUCGAAUAUACUCUAUUGCCUCCCCAGGGGGUUCCAGAGAGUGUCAGGGGAGGCGUGAAAGGAAAGUCAAACUGUAUUCGGUUGUCUAAUAAUGAAUAAGUAUUAGGCCUGUCUCUAGCUAUAAUAUGUUUAUAAAAAUAAAUAAAAUCACUUAAAUAAUCUUAAAGGAGGCCCACUGUCUCAGACUUUAAAAACACCUGCUCUGUAGUUUAUUGUCCAUAAGCGUAGACAUAUUCGCAAAUGUAUAAAAAAAUAUAUAUAUAUAAAACUUAAAUAUAUUUA